rnacentral:lncRNA from 1 species
UGCUAGACUCGAAGCUAUGGGAUCAUGCUUGCCUUUGUUGCUAAUAGAAACAUUAAGGUUAUAUCCAUGAGGGUAGUCCAUGAAUUGAUCUCUCAAGUACAUUUGUUCAUGCAAUUUGCCAAGGGAUGAGCAAUCUUAUUAGGAAAGAUUGAGAUCAGUUGGAUGCACUAGUAAGAGUUUGGUAAUGAGCAUCCACUUCUUAUGAAUG